AUAAUUUCCACCUGUUGUCUAUCCCAAUUGCACAACAGCACGUGAAAUUGAUUGUCACUCAGUGUUGCUUCCUAAGUGGACAGUUUGAUUUCACAGAAGUGUGAUUGACUUGAAGUUACAUUGUGUUGUUUAAGUGUUCCUGUUGUAGAUAAUUUACUGCAAACCAAUUAGUUUGAAUGACUAUCUGUUCCUGUCCAAAUUAAUGAUAAUAAAGUUGCGUGCACGCAGAAGUAAAU